UACAGAGGGUGCAAGCGUUAAUCGGAAUUACUGGGCGUAAAGCGCACGUAGGUGGUUUGUUAAGCCAGCUGUGAAAUCCCCGGGCUCAACCUGGGCACUGCAGUUGGAACUGGCAAGCUAGAGUAGGGUAGAGGGGUGUGGAAUUCCAGGUGUAGCGGUGAAAUGCGUAGAUAUCUGGAGGAACAUCAGUGGCGAAGGCGACACCCUGGACUCAUACUGACACUGAGGUGCGAAAGCGUGGGGAGCAAGCAGG
rnacentral:rRNA from 1 species